CACGUAGGGUGCGAGCGUUGUCCGGAAUUAUUGGGCGUAAAGAGCUCGUAGGCGGUGUGUCGCGUCGGCCGUGAAAACCUGGGGCUUAACUCUGGGCGUGCGGUCGAUACGGGCAUCACUGGAGUUCGGCAGGGGAGACUGGAAUUCCUGGUGUAGCGGUGAAAUGCGCAGAUAUCAGGAGGAACACCGGUGGCGAAGGCGGGUCUCUGGGCCGAUACUGAC
rnacentral:rRNA from 1 species